rnacentral:rRNA from 1 species
GAUGAACGCUGGCGGCGUGCCUAAUACAUGCAAGUCGAGCGAACAGACGAGGAGCUUGCUCCUCUGACGUUAGCGGCGGACGGGUGAGUAACACGUGGAUAACCUACCUAUAUGUCUGGGAUAACUUCGGGAAACCGGUGCUAAUACUGGAUCAUAUAUUGAACCGCAUGGUUCAAUAGUGAAAGACGGUUUUGCUGUCACUUAUAGCUGGAUCCGCGCCGCAUUAGCUAGUUGGUAAGGUAACGGCCUACCAAGGCAACGAUGCGUAGCCGACCUGAGAGGGUGAUCGGCCACACUGGAACUGAGACACGGUCCAGACUCCUACGGGAGGCAGCAGUAGGGAAUCUUCCGCAAUGGGCGAAAGCCUGACGGAGCAACGCCGCGUGAGUGAUGAAGGUCUUCGGAUCGUAAAACUCUGUUAUUAGGGAAGAACAAAUGUGUAAGUAACUAUGCACGUCUUGACGGUACCUAAUCAGAAAGCCACGGCUAACUACGUG